rnacentral:pre_miRNA from 1 species
GGAAACCUGGAAACUACUGUUGGAUCGAAAAUGGACGUCUAAGAUUUGUCCACGUCACCAUGAGUAAAAUUUUGCUCCUAGUAAACUUUUUACUCAUGAGUCAACUUACGAGUAAAAUUUUUACUUGUGAUUACGUGGACGAAUAUCAAAUGUCUAUUUUUCGAUCCAACAGUAGUUUCCAGGUUUCC